AGAAGGAACUCGGCAAAUUGACACCGUAACUUCGGAAGAAGGUGUGCCUUUGUAGCGUGAGAGAAGAAACACCUUAAGCGUGAAGAGGCCUCAGAGAAUAGGUGGCUGCAACUGUUUACUAAAAACACAGCACUCUGCAAAGACGAAAGUCGACGUAUAGGGUGUGAUGCCUGCCCGGUGCUGGAAGAUUAAUUGAUGGGCUGCAAGGUCCUGAUCGAAGUCCCAGUAAACGGCGGCCGUAACUAUAACGGUCCUAAGGUAGCGAAAUUCCUUGUCGGGCAAGUUCCGACCUGCACGAAUGGCAUAACGAUGGCCACACUGUCUCCUCCUGAGACUCAGUGAAGUUGAAGUGUUUGUGAUGAUGCAAUCUCCCCGCGGCUAGACGGAAAGACCCCAUGAACCUUUACUGUAGCUUUGCAUUGGACUUUGAACCGAUCUGUGUAGGAUAGGUGGGAGGCAGUGAAGCUAGGACGCCAGUCUUAGCGGAGCCAACCUUGAAAUACCACCCUGAUUUGUUUGAGGUUCUAACCUGGGACAGUCAUCCUGUCCGGGGACCGUGCAUGGUAGGCAGUUUGACUGGGGCGGUCUCCUCCUAAAGGGUAACGGAGGAGUGCGAAGGUACGCUAGGUACGGUCGGAAAUCGUGCUGAUAGUGCAAUGGCAAAAGCGUGCUUGACUGCGAGACCCACAAGUCGAGCAGAUACGAAAGUAGGUCAUAGUGAUCCGGUGGCUCUGUAUGGAAGGGCCAUCGCUCAACGGAUAAAAGGUACUCCGGGGAUAACAGGCUGAUUCCGCCCAAGAGUUCAUAUCGACGGCGGUGUUUGGCACCUCGAUGUCGGCUCAUCUCAUCCUGGGGCUGUAGCCGGUCCCAAGGGUAUGGCUGUUCGCCAUUUAAAGAGGUACGUGAGCUGGGUUUAAAACGUCGUGAGACAGUUU
rnacentral:rRNA from 1 species